GCGCCUUUAGCUCAAUGGUAGAGCGCUCCGUUCACAUCGGAGAGGUCGUAAGUUCGAUCCUUACAAGGCGCA
rnacentral:tRNA from 1 species